GGAGUUAGCCGGUGCUUCUUCUGUGAGUGAUGUCCUUCCUGCCGGCUAUUAACCCGCAGGCCUUCUUCCUCACUGAAAGUGCUUUACAACCCGAAGGCCUUCUUCACACACGCGGCAUGGCUGGAUCAGGGUUGCCCCCAUUGUCCAAUAUUCCCCACUGCUGCCUCCCGUAGGAGUCUGGGCCGUGUCUCAGUCCCAGUGUGGCUGAUCAUCCUCUCAGACCAGCUACGGAUCGUCGCCUUGGUGAGCCGUUACCUCACCAACCAGCUAAUCCGACAUAGGCUCAUCCGAUAGCGCGAGGCCCGAAGGUCCCCCGCUUUCCCCCGUAGGGCCGUAUGCGGUAUUAGCCUGGGUUUCCCCAGGUUAUCCCCCACUACCGGGCAGAUUCCUAUGCAUUACUCACCCGUCCGCCGCUCGCCACCAGGGAGCAAGCUCCCCGUGCUGCCGCUCGACUUGCAUGUGUUAGGCCUGCCGCCAGCGUUCAAUCUGAGCCAGAAUCAAAACUCUGA
rnacentral:rRNA from 1 species